AGGGGAUUUUGUCAGGGACUAAUCUUGAACAUGAUGAAGCUGAAGUAACAGCUCCUGUAUCAUCAGCAGCGGGAUCAUCAGCUCCAGGAUCGUUAGCUCCUCAAGCGACUUCAAUCCCAGGAGGAAGCAAUGUAACAGCUCCUGUAGCACUAGCAGCGGGGUCAUCAGCUCCUGGAGUAGCGGCCGGAUCAUCAGCUUCUCAAGCGACGGCAAUCCCCGGAGGAAGCAACGGUAAUUAUUGUUGUCACUGUUUUUUAUUAUGGUUAAUCGUCCCAAAAUUAAAUGAACAUCUGAUUUGGAAUCUGUGAUUUAUGAUGAAUGGAAUAUACAUAUGUUUUCAAAUUUUAUGCUCAUCCAAU